rnacentral:tRNA from 1 species
GGUGGCUCAGUGGUAGAGUGCUUGUCUUGCAUGCAUGAGGCUCUGGGUUCGAUUCCUUAGCACCA